UUUUAUUAUUUCAAAUGAAUAUGCUAUGUUUUAUUUGUGUUGUUUCCUUAAUUUUCUGUUAACAGGUAGAAGAGUUAGCGUAUACGAGUCCCAUAUUGCCGGCUGACGUAUAAAAUCGCUAAAGAUCAAAAACACUGAUACAUAACAAUUACAUUUGAAAUUUUAUUUGCCGUUGAAAUAGUUCUUUGUUCCAAAAUAAAUAAAAUGAUAGUA